CUGUGCUUCAGUUUCCCCAACUGGAGAUAAUAGCAAGGCCAACCUCAUCUGGUUGUUGUGAGGAUUAAAUCCAUCACCUAAUGAGAAGCUUCCUGAAGGGGCUCAGCCCAACAUCCCCCGCCCAUCUCUGGGAGGACCCCCAGAUGGCAUCAGCCACAACAUUGCUCGGAAAAUGUCUCCCGUCCACAGGUCCCUCCUGACCAGCUCUUCUCCCCAACAAGAUCGUGUGCCCCUUGGGAAGCCACCUGGUCAGCAUUUUCACAGAUGCUUGCAAAGCUCCUAUGGCCAGGUGGAAAUGAGGACAAAGACCCUGAGAGACAGGAAGAAGGAGACCGAGACAGAGGAAGCGGGCGGUGGCGGAACAGAGAGAAAUAAGCGGAUAUGAAGAGACAACAGGGCUGGAGAGACACGGGGAGAGUGACAGUGACAGAGAUGGAGAGAGCAGAAACCAAAACUCAGACAGAUCUGACUCCCGCAUCGCCUUCCGUAACGUGAGCCUCCAUAACCAUCAAAAUCACAGGGUUG